rnacentral:rRNA from 1 species
ACGUGGUAUCCUGUCUGAAUAUGGGGGGACCAUCCUCCAAGGCUAAAUACUCCUGACUGACCGAUAGUGAACCAGUACCGUGAGGGAAAGGCGAAAAGAACCCCGGCGAGGGGAGUGAAAAAGAACCUGAAACCGUGUACGUACAAGCAGUGGGAGCACAGGUUUACCUGUGUGACUGCGUACCUUUUGUAUAAUGGGUCAGCGACUUAUAUUCUGUAGCAAGGUUAACCGUAUAGGGGAGCCGUAGGGAAACCGAGUCUUAACCGGGCGUUAAGUUGCAGGGUAUAGACCCGAAACCCGGUGAUCUAGCCAUGGGCAGGUUGAAGGUUGGGUAACACUAACUGGAGGACCGAACCGACUAAUGUUGAAAAAUUAGCGGAUGACCUGUGGCUGGGGGUGAAAGGCCAAUCAAACCGGGAGAUAGCUGGUUCUCCCCGAAAGCUAUUUAGGUAGCGCCUCGUGAAUUCAUCUCCGGGGGUAGAGCACUGUUUCGGCUAGGGGGCCAUCCCGGCUUACCAACCCGAUGCAAACUGCGAAUACCGGAGAAUGUUAUCACGGGAGACACACGGCGGGUGCUAACGUCCGUCGUGAAGAGGGAAACAACCCAGACCGCCAGCUAAGGUCCCAAAGUCAUGGUUAAGUGGGAAACGAUGUGGGAAGGCCCAGACAGCCAGGAUGUUGGCUUAGAAGCAGCCAUCAUUUAAAGAAAGCGUAAUAGCUCACUGGUCGAGUCGGCCUGCGCGGAAGAUGUAACGGGGCUAAACCAUGCACCGAAGCUGCGGCAGCGAACGUAUCACCCAAGACAACUUUACGGAGUUGACGAUUGACGGAGCGAAGCGACGUCAAAGCGUUCAUUAAAGUCGAGUUGGCUUAGGGAUACGUUCGUUGGGUAGGGGAGCGUUCUGUAAGCCUGUGAAGGUGUGUCGUGAGGCAUGCUGGAGGUAUCAGAAGUGCGAAUGCUGACAUAAGUAACGAUAAAGCGGGUGAAAAGCCCGCUCGCCGGAAGACCAAGGGUUCCUGUCCAACGUUAAUCGGGGCAGGGUGAGUCGACCCCUAAGGCGAGGCCGAAAGGCGUAGUCGAUGGGAAACGGGUUAAUAUUCCCGUACUUGGUGUUACUGCGAAGGGGGGACGGAGAAGGCUAUGUUGGCCGGGCGACGGUUGUCCCGGUUUAAGCGUGUAGGUGUGUGUUCCAGGUAAAUCCGGUUCACUUUAACACUGAGGCGUGACGACGAGGCACUACGGUGCUGAAGCAACAAAUGCCCUGCUUCCAGGAAAAGCCUCUAAGCAUCAGGUAACACGAAAUCGUACCCCAAACCGACACAGGUGGUCAGGUAGAGAAUACCAAGGCGCUUGAGAGAACUCGGGUGAAGGAACUAGGCAAAAUGGUGCCGUAACUUCGGGAGAAGGCACGCUGACACGUAGGUGAAGUGAUUUACUCAUGGAGCUGAAGUCAGUCGAAGAUACCAGCUGGCUGCAACUGUUUAUUAAAAACACAGCACUGUGCAAACACGAAAGUGGACGUAUACGGUGUGACGCCUGCCCGGUGCCGGAAGGUUAAUUGAUGGGGUCAGCGCAAGCGAAGCUCCUGAUCGAAGCCCCGGUAAACGGCGGCCGUAACUAUAACGGUCCUAAGGUAGCGAAAUUCCUUGUCGGGUAAGUUCCGACCUGCACGAAUGGCGUAAUGAUGGCCAGGCUGUCUCCACCCGAGACUCAGUGAAAUUGAACUCGCUGUGAAGAUGCAGUGUACCCGCGGCAAGACGGAAAGACCCCGUGAACCUUUACUAUAGCUUGACACUGAACAUUGAGCCUUGAUGUGUAGGAUAGGUGGGAGGCUUUGAAGUGUGGACGCCAGUCUGCAUGGAGCCGACCUUGAAAUACCACCCUUUAAUGUUUGAUGUUCUAACGUGGACCCGUAAUCCGGGUUGCGGACAGUGUCUGGUGGGUAGUUUGACUGGGGCGGUCUCCUCCUAAAGAGUAACGGAGGAGCACGAAGGUUGGCUAAUCCUGGUCGGACAUCAGGAGGUUAGUGCAAUGGCAUAAGCCAGCUUGACUGCGAGCGUGACGGCGCGAGCAGGUGCGAAAGCAGGUCAUAGUGAUCCGGUGGUUCUGAAUGGAAGGGCCAUCGCUCAACGGAUAAAAGGUACUCCGGGGAUAACAGGCUGAUACCGCCCAAGAGUUCAUAUCGACGGCGGUGUUUGGCACCUCGAUGUCGGCUCAUCACAUCCUGGGGCUGAAGUAGGUCCCAAGGGUAUGGCUGUUCGCCAUUUAAAGUGGUACGCGAGCUGGGUUUAGAACGUCGUGAGACAGUUCGGUCCCUAUCUGCCGUGGGCGCUGGAGAACUGAGGGGGGCUGCUCCUAGUACGAGAGGACCGGAGUGGACGCAUCACUGGUGUUCGGGUUGUCAUGCCAAUGGCACUGCCCGGUAGCUAAAUGCGGAAGAGAUAAGUGCUGAAAGCAUCUAAGCACGAAACUUGCCCCGA